rnacentral:rRNA from 1 species
GACGAACGCUGGCGGCGUGCCUAAUACAUGCAAGUGGAACGCAUUGAUAUCACCGGAGCUUGCUCCACCGAUAUAAAUGAGUCGCGAACGGGUGAGUAACGCGUAGGUAACCUGCCUGAUAGCGGGGGAUAACUAUUGGAAACGAUAGCUAAUACCGCAUGAGAGUGUUUAACACAUGUUAGAGACUUAAAAGAUACAAUUGUAUCACUAUCAGAUGGACCUGCGUUGUAUUAGCUAGUUGGUAGGGUAGCGGCCUAUCAAGGCAACGAUACAUAGCCGACCUGAGAGGGUGAUCGGCCACACUGGGACUGAGACACGGCCCAGACUCCUACGGGAGGCAGCAGUAGGGAAUCUUCGGCAAUGGACGAAAGUCUGACCGAGCAACGCCGCGUGAGUGAAGAAGGUUUUCGGAUCGUAAAGCUCUGUUGUAGCGGAAGAACGCGUGUAAGAGUGGAAAGUUACACAGGACGUACGUACCAGAAAGGACG